rnacentral:misc_RNA from 1 species
AACGCACAUUGCGCCCUUUGGUAUUCCAAAGGGCAUGCCUGUCCGAGCGUCAUUAUCACCCCUCAAGCCCCGUGCUUGGUGUUGGACGGAUUUUGGUCGUGUGAUAUCGACCCCUCCUAAAGACAAUGACGGCGGCCUGCGGAUCCCCCGGUACACUGAGCUUUUAACUGAGCACGUAUCGGACAAGGGCGCCCAGGACACGGUCCUUCUCCUUCAACCAGGAAAUUUCUUCAAGGUUGACCUCGGAUCAGGUAGGAAUACGCGCUGAACUUAA